GAGAGGCAGGCGGGCCCUAGCUGCAGCGUCAAGGUCUGGGGAUUCUGUGGCUCUGUAGGGUGAAGGGCACUGGAGACCUACCAGGGGCUGGGCCAUUGGAGUGGUGGGUGCUGGGGAGCUUCCGUGGGCCCCUCCAGGUCCACUCCUUGCUCUUCUCUGCCUUGUUUUGUGCCCAGAAGGCUGACCUGUGUGGAUGCAUUAUCAGGGUGGAUGCAACACAGGGCUGCCAUGCUCUCUGGUAUCAGUUUGGAAGGCACUGGCAGGAUGGGAAGGCAGGCGGGGAGUGAGGUCAGGGGGCCUAUCCUUCCACUGCCUCCCUGCUGCUCCCUGACUGAUUCAGAGCCAGUCUUGGUGCUCUGUGUUCACCUGGUUCAUCUGAGGAGCUGCAUCUACCCUGCCCAUGCCAUAGAUCCUGCCCUGUUUGCUUCUCCUGUUGCUGCUAGUGGACAUGAGGUAACCACAGCCUAGUUCUGUGAUAAGCUCUUCACACCUGUACCCAUAUGGACUGUGGGAGAGUUUCUCUGAUAUGGACUGUGAUGCGGGUCACCCGAUAUAGAAUCACACACCUG
rnacentral:lncRNA from 1 species